rnacentral:rRNA from 1 species
GGGCGUUAAGUUGCAGGGUAUAGACCCGAAACCCGGUGAUCUAGCCAUGGGCAGGUUGAAGGUUGGGUAACACUAACUGGAGGACCGAACCGACUAAUGUUGAAAAAUUAGCGGAUGACCUGUGGCUGGGGGUGAAAGGCCAAUCAAACCGGGAGAUAGCUGGUUCUCCCCGAAAGCUAUUUAGGUAGCGCCUCGUGAAUUCAUCUCCGGGGGUAGAGCACUGUUUCGGCUAGGGGGCCAUCCCGGCUUACCAACCCGAUGCAAACUGCGAAUACCGGAGAAUGUUAUCACGGGAGACACACGGCGGGUGCUAACGUCCGUCGUGAAGAGGGAAACAACCCAGACCGCCAGCUAAGGUCCCAAAGUCAUGGUUAAGUGGGAAACGAUGUGGGAAGGCCCAGACAGCCAGGAUGUUGGCUUAGAAGCAGCCAUCAUUUAAAGAAAGCGUAAUAGCUCACUGGUCGAGUCGGCCUGCGCGGAAGAUGUAACGGGGCUAAACCAUGCACCGAAGCUGCGGCAGCGAACGUAUCACUUAAAGCGAUUCAGCGGGUUACGAUUGACGGAGCGAAGCGACGUCAAAGCGU